CAUGGUCUGAUUAAUCGGCAAGGCGAUCUGGUGAUGUCCAUCUUUCCAUUUCCUAGGAUUCCCUCUGAAACGCUGUCAUUUUCCAUCUCUCCUCGUCGCUGCUUCCACGCAUGUCAAAGAAGAAUGAUUUAGGAAUGACCCAUUUUCAGAUUUUGAGAAAGAGAUAUAGGGUAGUAGUGUGGAGAUAAUAGUGUAUAGAACAAUAAUAAGUAUGAUGGUGGGGAUGGUGAUUAGCGUGCAACGCUUGAUGGACUUGAUGGUCGCCGGAUUCUCUCUGGUGAUCGUGCUUUGGAUUUUCGCCUUCAUUGCUUCGAUUCUCUGCUGUAUUGCUUUCUUCCAAAAUGCCAAGGAAUUUUCCUGAUUCGACGUGACCCAAUUGCCCUAAAUACGGAUUUUGCUAGGUUAGAGUAAAUAGGAAAAGAAAAACCCAAAAACAUGAAGCAUCAAACAUCAAACAUUCAGUUGAAUAACAUGCCAAGUUGAGAACUUCACAGUUUGGGCAUGGAGUCCCAUCACUUCUGUUACUUAUUUGUUGUUUGUACUUGAAGCAUUCUUGUAUUUGUAGAUAAUCUUCUUGAAAAUUAGAGCAGAAUGUUUUUUCAUAGAUGAAUUAUUAUGGAUCUGUUGAAUAUUAGAUCCUCAAAAAUGUCAAGGACUUUUUAGUUCAAUGUUAUUCGUGUAAAUUGUCUUGGAUUUAUUCUCAUCCCGUUAAGUAUCAUUUAAAUUGCAGUGUCUCUGCUA